CAAGCCCUCUCUGGAUAUUUGAUUCUGUGAACAGCUGCUGAACAUUCAGAUUGAUUGCUUUUCCUUCACAUACUACUGAAGAGUUCAUUUAUUCCGCUGCAGUCUGGUGGGAUUUAUAUUUGAGUACUAUCCUGAGCCUGUGUUCCAGCCCAAAGCUCUUCAAAGUGCAUCCACGCUGCUCAGACAUGGCCCUGUGCUCAACAGCAGACCUUAGGAGACCUCGGGGGUCCAGCAGAGGCAUAUGCUGAGAGCACUGAAUGAAUAUCUUUGGAGUGCAGAGAGUCUGGACAGGUCUGUUCCAGUCUGGUAGCAGCAUUGGAUGGUCAGUGUUGGGCUCCUUCAUCCAUCAGCAUAGCACACAGAUGUCUCACUUUAGAUGAAGGAAGAAACUGGAUUUUCUACCAAGAUGAGUGGAAGUGCAGUAAGACCUCGGUGCCAGUACUGCCCAACUGCAGGAAGGGCUGGGCUCAGCUGUCCUGGCUGGUGUUGGAGAUCCCUGCUCAGGAGAGGAGCGUGCUUUGGGCUUUGCAUCAGUGCCUGCCUGACCAGAAAGAGGCCACUUCUUGGGGAUGACUGCCCCCUCCAUCAAGGAAAAGGUCCAUGAGGUUAAAGCCAAGUGGAAACGUCCUUAUAUGUGUAUUAGUACCUGGACUGAAGUUGGGUCAUCUUGGCCUUCUGCAUUUCGUUGUCUUCAUGCUCUGAAUAAAUGGAGCUUGUUACAGAUGGAGACCAUACUGCUCCUAGACAAGGACCAAUGAUACUUUUGACAGUACAAAAUGACCACAGCCAAUUCAAGUGUUCAGCUGCCAAAGUCAUACCUGAAAAUAUGCUGCUCUCUGGGCAAAGAAAGCAGAAGUGCUUUCUGCACUGCCUCUCUCACUGUUUGCCUCAGUUUUAGCCU